rnacentral:rRNA from 1 species
GGCCUUCUACUACUCGUAUGCAGGUCGUGCGGGAGAGCGAGCAGCUUGCUCUCGGGUGAGAGCGGCGGACGGGUGAGUGUGUCUGGGAAACUGCCUGAUGCAGGUGGAUAACUACUGGAAACGGUAGCUAAUACCGCAUAACGUCGCAAGACCAAAGUGGGGGACCUUCGGGCCUCAUGCCAUCAGAUGUGCCCAGAUGGGAUUAGCUGGUAGGUGGGGUAACGGCUCACCUAGGCGACGAUCCCUAGCUGGUCUGAGAGGAUGACCAGCCACACUGGAACUGAGACACGGUCCAGACUCCUACGGGAGGCAGCAGUGGGGAAUAUUGCACAAUGGGCGCAAGCCUGAUGCAGCCAUGCCGCGUGUGUGAAGAAGGCCUUCGGGUUGUAAAGCACUUUCAGCGGGGAGGAAGGCGAUGAGGUUAAUAACCUUGCCGAUUGACGUUACCCGCAGAAGAAGCACCGGCUAACUCCGUGCCAGCAGCCGCGGUAAUACGGAGGGUGCAAGCGUUAAUCGGAAUUACUGGGCGUAAAGCGCACGCAGGCGGUCUGUCAAGUCGGAUGUGAAAUCCCCGGGCUCAACCUGGGAACUGCAUUCGAAACUGGCAGGCUAGAGUCUUGUAGAGGGGGGUAGAAUUCCAGGUGUAGCGGUGAAAUGCGUAGAGAUCUGGAGGAAUACCGGUGGCGAAGGCGGCCCCCUGGACAAAGACUGACGCUCAGGUGCGAAAGCGUGGGGAGCAAACAGGAUUAGAUACCCUGGUAGUCCACGCUGUAAACGAUGUCGAUUUGGAGGUUGUGCCCUUGAGGCGUGGCUUCCGGAGCUAACGCGUUAAAUCGACCGCCUGGGGAGUACGGCCGCAAGGUUAAAACUCAAAUGAAUUGACGGGGCCCGCACAGCGUGGAGCAUGUGGUUUAUUCGAUGCAACGCGAAGAACCUUACCUGGUCUUGACAUCCACAGAACUUUCCAGAAGAUGCAUUGGUGCCUUC